rnacentral:rRNA from 1 species
AUUGCACGCUAGCGGGAUGCUUUACACAUGCAAGUCGAACGAGUGGCGGACGGGUGCGUAAUAUAUCGGAACGUGCCCAGGAGCGGGGGAUAACUCCUCGAAAGAGUGGCUAAUACCGCAUACUAUUUGAGCGGCCGAUAUCGGAUUAGCUAGUUGGGGGGGUAAAGGCUCACCAAGGCCACGAUCCGUAGCUGUGUUGAGAGGACGACCAGCCACACUGGGACUUAGACACGGCCCAGACUCCUACGGGAGGCAGCAGUGGGGAAGUUUGGACAAUGGGGGAAACCCUGAUCCAGCCAGCCCUCGUGUAGGAGAAGGCCUUCGGGUUGUAAAGUACUUUUGGCAGAGAAGCGGUAUCUGCAGAAUAAGCACCGGCUAACUACGUGCCAGCAGCCGCGGUAAUAC